AAUGGUAUAGCUCAUUGGUAGAGCAUUAGGCUAGCAUGCAUGAGGCCCUGAGUUCAAUCCCCAGCAUCAUUA
rnacentral:tRNA from 1 species